rnacentral:rRNA from 1 species
UACGUAGGGUGCAAGCGUUAAUCGGAAUUACUGGGCGUAAAGCGUGCGCAGGCGGCUUUGCAAGACAGAUGUGAAAUCCCCGGGCUCAACCUGGGAACUGCAUUUGUGACUGCAAGGCUAGAGUACGGUAGAGGGGGAUGGAAUUCCGCGUGUAGCAGUGAAAUGCGUAGAUAUGCGGAGGAACACCGAUGGCGAAGGCAAUCCCCUGGACCUGUACUGACGCUCAUGCACGAAAGC